rnacentral:rRNA from 1 species
AUUGAACGCUGGCGGCAGGCCUAACACAUGCAAGUCGAACGAGUGGCGGACGGGGGAGUAAUGUCUGGGAAACUGCCCGAUGGAGGGGGAUAACUACUGGAAACGGUAGCUAAUACCGCAUACCAUCGGAUGUGCCCAGAUGGGAUUAGCUAGUAGGUGGGGUAAAGGCUGACCUAGGCGACGAUCCCUAGCUGGUCUGAGGGGAUGAUCAGCAACAAUGGAACUGAGACACGGUCCAGACUCCUACGGGAGGCAGCAGUGGGGAAUAUUGCACAAUGGGCGAAAGCCUGAUGCAGUAAUGCCGCGUGAAUGAAGAAGGCCUUCGGGUUGUAAAGUUCUUUCGGUAGCGAGUCGUUAACUACAGAAGAAGCACCGGCUAACUCCGUGCCAGCAGCCGCGGUAAUUC